rnacentral:rRNA from 1 species
CGGAACGGGUGAGUAAUGCGUGACCAACCUGCCCCAUGCUCCAGAAUAGCUCUUGGAAACGGGUGGUAAUGCUGGAUGCUCCAACUUGACGCAUGUCUUGUUGGGAAAGUGUUUAGUGGCAUGGGAUGGGGUCGCGUCCUAUCAGCUUGUAGGCGGGGUAAUGGCCCACCUAGGCUUCGACGGGUAGCCGGCCUGAGAGGGCGGACGGCCACAUUGGGACUGAGAUACGGCCCAAACUCCUUACGGGAGGCAGCAGCC